rnacentral:pre_miRNA from 1 species
AAAGUACUCCCUCCGUCCCAAAAUUCUUGUCUUAGAUUUCUCUAGAUAUGGAUGUAUCAAGUCACAUUUUAGUAUUAGAUACAUCCGUAUCUAGACAAAUAUAAGACAAGAAAUUUGGGACAGAGGGAGUAGUUG